rnacentral:rRNA from 1 species
GACGAACGCUGGCGGCGUGCUUAACACAUGCAAGUCGAGCGGUAAGGCCCUUCGGGUACGACGAGCGGCGAACGGGUGAGUAACACGUGGGUGGACCUGCCCUCCACUUCGGGAGUAAGCCUGGGAAACCGGGUCGUAAUACCGGAUAGGACCUCUGGAUGCAUGUCUGGUGGUGGAUAGUCUGUGUCUUGACUGAUGCUGGC